rnacentral:rRNA from 1 species
UGGGGAAUAUUGCACAAUGGGCGCAAGCCUGAUGCAGCCAUGCCGCGUGUAUGAAGAAGGCCUUCGGGUUGUAAAGUACUUUCAGCGGGGAGGAAGGCGAUAAGGUUAAUAACCUUGUCGAUUGACGUUACCCGCAGAAGAAGCACCGGCUAACUCCGUGCCAGCAGCCGCGGUAAUACGGAGGGGGCAAGCGUUAAUCGGAAUUACUGGGCGUAAAGCGCACGCAGGCGGUCUGUCAAGUCGGAUGUGAAAUCCCCGGGCUCAACCUGGGAACUGCAUUCGAAACUGGCAGGCUAGAGUCUUGUAGAGGGGGGUAGAAUUCCAGGUGUAGCGGUGAAAUGCGUAGAGAUCUGGAGGAAUACCGGUGGCGAAGGCGGCCCCCUGGUCAAAGACUGACGCUCAGGUGCGAAAGCGUGGGGAGCAAACA